UACAGAGGGGGCAAGCGUUGUUCGGAAUUACUGGGCGUAAAGAGCGCGCAGGCGGUCGUUCAAGUCGAGUGUGAAAGCCCCCGGCUCAACUGGGGAGGGUCAUUCGAUACUGAUCGACUCGAAGGCAGGAGAGGGAAGCGGAAUUCCCGGUGUAGUGGUGAAAUGCGUAGAUAUCGGGAGGAACACCAGUGGCGAAGGCGGCUUCCUGGCCUGUUCUUGACGCUGAGGCGCGAAAGCUAGGGGAGCAAACGGG
rnacentral:rRNA from 1 species